UUUCAGAUGAUACAUACUGAAAUAUUCCAAAACACAAAAUACACAAAGGUAAAAACGAAUGUUCCGUCAUGAUCAACUUUAUAACAUCCUGGUUAGAACUUACUGAGAACCGUACUACCAAUUAACUUAAAAGUUUCAAGUCUACUGGUCUAAUCAGAGUACCGUGAAAUAUAUAUAGGUAUUUAAACCCUCUACAGGUAAAUCAAUUGAAGUUUUU
rnacentral:lncRNA from 1 species